ensembl:lncRNA
GGAGGCCCCGGGGCAGACCCAGGACACGCUGGAGAGAUUAUAUCUCUCGGCUGGCCUGGGAACGCCUUGGUAUUCCCCCGGACAAGCUGGAGGAGGUGGCUGGGGAGAGGGAGGUCUGGACCUCUUUGCUUAGGCUGCUACCCCCGCGACCCGACCUCGGAUAAGCGGAUGAAGAUGGAUGGAUGGAUGGGAACAAAUGAACAUAUUGAGUGUAAAUCCUCUACAGUCUCCAUGUUUCUAUAGAAUCUGAUCAUCAGGACUCUGAUUCACACUUUGAUUCUCAUGGAGUUUGAUUUGAACAGAAGAAAAGUUGAAUCAGGAAAUGUUCCCACUGAUGGAGACUCGAGCUGAAGAGCAAAUAUCAGAGAACAAAUGUCCAAAAGCUUCAUUUCCAAUAAAGUUUGUUCAAUGCUUUGAGUGAAUCCAGACUCAUGUGUGGCUGUUAUACGGAGCAUCAGAGUCCAGCUGAGUUAUGUUGGAUACAAACUGCUUAUUUUGGCUCUCAUAUUUUUAAAAGGGCUCUGCAAACAUGGCCAACAACUUAUUCAUACCUCAGCUCCCCUUUGACCUCAGAGUUUGGUGCCCUCCUCCUCCUGGGACGUGGAAGCAUGUCUACCAUGGCUCCCACCAAGGUUGCUGCAGAGGAGGGGUCCAUUACCUCGUCUGUAUUUUUAUUAGUUUAGUUUUUAGAGUAAAAGUGAAGCCGUUUUGCUGUUAGUUGGUGUUGUGCUGUGUUAACAUGUGUCUUCUUUCAUAAAGUUUUCCAGUCCAUGGAUUUUAUUCCAGUCUCGCGUCGUAUUAUUGGAAGGGACACAUGACCGCCGGCCAAAACUGACACACGUGUAAAAUACAGGAUUAUAACAUCAGAUCAGGGAUCAUGUUGUUCAGGUCAUGAUGCUGUGUGUGUUGCCGUGGGAACAAUAAUCAUAGAUUAUGUGGAAAAACAGAAAGUUUCUCCUGGUGUCAUUACUGCAGUACCCACAGCACAGCUCUAGUACACACAAUACUCCCCCCAUUAUCACUGCACACUUCUUCAGCUGGUGAUGAGCGCCCCCUGGUGUCACAGUGUUGAUGACGUCAUGCAAAGUGAAAAAUAAAUAGU